rnacentral:rRNA from 1 species
GGUUCAGGAUGAACGCUAGCGGCAGGCUUAACACAUGCAAGUCGAGGGGCAUCGGGAGUAGCAAUACUUGCCGGCGACCGGCGCAAGGGUGCGUAACGCGUGAGCAACAUGCCCGUAUCAGGGGGGAUAAUCCAUGGAAACGUGGUCUAAUACCCCAUAGUAAUUAUGUAAGGCAUCUUAUAUAAUUUAAAGCUUUGGUGGAUACGGAUUGGCUCGCGUGACAUUAGCUGGAUGGUAAGGUAACGGCUUACCAUGGCUACGAUGUCUAGGGGUUCUGAGAGGAAGGUCCCCCACACUGGAACUGAGACACGGUCCAGACUCCUACGGGAGGCAGCAGUGAGGAAUAUUGGACAAUGGAUGGAAAUCUGAUCCAGCCAUGCCGCGUGCAGGAAGAACCGGCCCUAUGGGUUGUAAACUGCUUUUGUAUGGGAGCAAUAAGGGCUACGUGUAGUCCGAUGAGAGUACCAUACGAAUAAGCACCGGCUAACUCCGUGCCAGCAGCAGC